rnacentral:rRNA from 1 species
CCUACGGGCGGCAGCAGUGGGGAAUAUUGCACAAUGGGGGAAACCCUGAUGCAGCGACGCCGCGUGAGUGAGGAAGUAUCUCGGUAUGUAAAGCUCUAUCAGCAGGGAAGAAAAUGACGGUACCUGACUAAGAAGCACCGGCUAACUACGUGGCAGCAGCCGCGGUAAUACGUAGGGGGCAAGCGUUAUCCGGAUUUACUGGGUGUAAAGGGAGCGUAGACGGUUAAUCAAGUCAGAAGUGAAAACCCAGGGCUCAACCUUGGGACUGCUUUUGAAACUGAGUAGCUAGAGUGGAGGAGAGGUAAGCGGAAUGCGUGGUGUAGCGGUGAAAUGCGUAGAUAUUAGGAAGAACACCGGUGGCGAAGGCGGCUUACUGGACUGUAACUGACGUUGAGGCUCGAAAGCGUGGGGAGCGAACAGGAUUAGAUACCCGAGUAGUC